ensembl:lncRNA
AAUCAACAUAUUUGAAGUCUCUCCCAUGUGAGAUUUAUUUAUUUAUUUUUCUUACAAAAAUAUAAAUAUAUGCUCCUAAGUCCUUUUAAUAUUUCCCCUGAAAAUAAAACUAACACAACUGUAAAUAUUUAAGCUUGAAAAUAUUUGUGAUUUGUUGUUCAUUGAUAUUGUUUGCAUUUGAAAUUAUGUCACAACAACAUAUUUCAACAUUUACUUUUUUCUUGAAAUUGAAAUAGAUUAAUAGAAAAGUGGUUGCUUGUCACUGAAAGCUUUCCACUAAAAAUUCAGCACAGUGUUGUCCAUCAUUUUAUAUUCCUAAUUGUAGCAUUCAAACUAAUCACUAGAGAUAAACAACAAAAGUGUAUAUUAUGAAGUCGCAGUAUGAGAGAAGAACAAUAAAUGCUAAUAUGCAUCUUUCUAUUCUGUUUGUUUGAAGAGAAUUCUUCCCCCUGUUCUAUCUCCAAUUUCUUUCCUAAAACAACGAACAUAUUUAUGGAAUAUAUAUAUUUUUUUUUACAACUCUAUCACACAGAACACUUCUUUUACAGUAUUAUCAGAAAUGCUUUGAAACUUCAUCUAAGGGGGCUAAAAGAUUCAUCGCAGUGAAAGCUCUGGAAAUUUCUAUCAACCAUGUCCAAAUUCAGAAGAUGAGAAUAAGGCAGACACUGACAGCAAAGAUCACCCUUGAGUAUAUUUAGAAGAAAAUCUAUCUAUCAUCUGUAAAACUGAAAUGAUAACAACCAUUAGCUACCAGCGAUGUAUUCCUUGUCAUUUUUCCUAAAGAGAAAAUGCAUUUUCUAAAAAGAUUAACUGUGACUCUCAGGUUGGAAAAUAAAACAUCAAAACCUCUCCCAGUGCCAAAUAAUAAUAAUAAUAAUAACAAUAAUAACAAUAAUAACAAUAAUAAUAAUAAUAAUAAUAAUAAUAAAAUUCUUAUCACUGACAAGAUCAGUCACUAAGAUCUUAACAGAUUAGUAUAACGGGCCAGUCUGCAAGGCUGUUGUGUACUAUGAUCUAACCAUUAGUUUAGAAAAGGAUCUGCUUUUUCUUCUGCGAAGAAAAAAAAAUUGAAUGCAUAAAGCUUUUGUAAAAAUAAUAAUAAAGAAGAUAUCUCCAUUCCUUAAAAAACUAAUUGAAACAUUUUGAACAGAUUGUUUUCAUAAAUUUGUAUUUUUCAUUGUAUAACAGAGUUCCAAGUAAAGGAAAAGAUUUUAAUUUCUUUUAAUUGUUAUCAGUAUAAAUAUAUUCAGUUGAAUAAAAAUAUUUGAGCAAUUGUUUGCAGAAUGCUCCCAUUUAAUGCUUUUUUCUGCCUUAAUUCUCUUCAGUCUUGUUUAUUUUCAGAGACAACAUUAAGCAUUAAAUGAAAUAAUGUCCAUCCCUAUUCAAAAUAAUUACCUGAAAUAAUUUCACUAGAAUAUAUAUAUAUAUAUAUAUUUACAUUGCUAUGUGUAUAUGUGUAAUGUAUAUACGAAUAAAAGCUGUUCAGUGCUGCAC